GACGGAGGGUGCGAGCGUUAUCCGGAUUUAUUGGGUUUAAAGGGUGCGCAGGCGGGCUGAUCAGUCAGUGGUGAAACCCCGGGGCUCAACUCCGGAGCUGCCAUUGAUACUGUCAGUCUUGAAUUCGGUUGAAGUGGGCGGAAUGUGUCAUGUAGCGGUGAAAUGCAUAGAUAUGACACAGAACACCGAUCGCGAAGGCAGCUCACUAAGCCGACAUUGACGCUCAUGCACGAAAGCGUGGGGAGCGAACAGG
rnacentral:rRNA from 1 species